AGAGGAAAGGAGAAAGUCAUCGAGGACUAAAACGGGAGAAUUACGGUUAGUAGAAGUCAAGUGUUCCGGCUCAGCAUCCAGAACAAUCCCGACUCCAACACAAAUUUGGUGAUGUAUAUUUUUCUUUUGGGUAAAGGUGGCAUGUACAUAGGUGUUGUUUAGUCACUUGAAUAUGUAUAUUACUUUGGGUAGUGAAGGAUGAAUUAUAAAAUUUAGAUGGUUAAAUGAAAUAGUAAGGAAAGUACAUGAUAUUUUGAUACAUGAACAUUAAGUUGUUAAAUGAAUGAAGUUUUUAAUCAA